GGAUUGCCCUAGUAACGGCGAGUGAAGCGGCAACAGCUCAAAUUUGAAAUCUGGCUCUCGGGCCCGAGUUGUAAUUUGUAGAGGAUACUUUUGAUGCGGUGCCUUCCGAGUUCCCUGGAACGGGACGCCAUAGAGGGUGAGAGCCCCGUCUGGUUGGAUGCCAAAUCUCUGUAAAGUUCCUUCAACGAGUCGAGUAGUUUGGGAAUGCUGCUCUAAAUGGGAGGUAUAUGUCUUCUAAAGCUAAAUACCGGCCAGAGACCGAUAGCGCACAAGUAGAGUGAUCGAAAGAUGAAAAGCACUUUGAAAAGAGAGUUAAAAAGUACGUGAAAUUGUUGAAAGGGAAGCGUUUAUGACCAGACUUGGGCUUGGUUAAUCAUCUGGGGUUCUCCCCAGUGCACUUUUCCAGUCCAGGCCAGCAUCAGUUUUCCCCGGGGGAUAAAGGCGGCGGGAAUGUGGCUCUCUUCGGGGAGUGUUAUAGCCCACCGUGUAAUACCCUGGGGGGGACUGAGGUUCGCGCAUCUGCAAGGAUGCUG
rnacentral:rRNA from 1 species